AAGAAAAAUGGAUGCCGUUCAGACGUACACGCAUUAUUUGGAACUGAAAAUUACGUAAUUUAUCGACCUGCUGGCUUGUAUUUGUUAUAAAUCAUAAAAAAAUUAUGGAAAACAUCAUGAACAAUAAUGAAACAAACCGAACCUUUAGCUACAAAAAUGACCCCAUGACGCCAGUGGAACUACGUGGUUUUCUUUCAUGAUGAUUUGAUGAUACCAUAAUGGAAUUAGCCAAGUUUUCGCCGUAUUGGGUGCUAGAUGCCCCUUGGAGUUAAGCCCCAGUGUGACUAUACUACCUUACCAGUUAUGUGUGGGUGUCCUAAGGCACCCCAGAGAUGCAAAGGACCUUCACAAACUCACGCCACGCCUUCCUAUCUUCAGCAACCCUCGUGACCUCGCUCCACCAGCUCAAACCUGCCACUCGCAACUCCUUUUCGACGGACCGCUCCCAUGAGUAGACAAAGCACCGACGAUCACGGCUUGCAUCACCUGUACUGCUAUGUAAUAUAGUAUGCUGAACACCGCUGUCAUUAUACUAGGAUCAACGUCCUGCCCCUUCCCCGGCUGUGUACAAAUUGGAACUCCAUUUGCAUGCCCCUUUGACUGAGCAAUGUGUGUAUGUGCUCGAAACACAUUCACUUGCAACAGAAUGACUCCCAGGCUGACCUGGCUCAGCUCCUGUAUGUCUGUUCUACAUAGACAAUGGUUUCAAUGAAAGAGUGAAAAUUCUUCUCCAUGUACAAUCACUUCCAACGCCUACACUGACUACACCAAAUAUGAUCAUCACUCAACGUGUCUCAUAUCAAGAUACCUUUUAAAAGUCAUCAAGAAGGAACAUAAUAUCUUUUCCCAUGGUUUCCGGAAUAAUCCUAACUAAAAGUUACUUCUCUAUUCUAUUUUUCCUGCAUGGAGUGGCGCUUUUCUGUCUAAUGAAAACAACAUGAACAUGUAUGCUCUGGGUUUUUUUUGUGCACCUUUCCAAUAUUACUAAUAAAGCAUUUUGUGAGUGUUUCAUUUACCACCUUCCUUCAUAAUUUUGCUAGCGUGUGAUUCACCGUGUCCCUAAUUUUUAAAUGCAAUAGCUACUGUAAUCUGUUCACUAAUGGGAAUAAUUUCAUGUUAACACAGUUUUGAAUACUAUCUUAAAUAAUGACUACUGACUCAAUAAAAAUAUUCCUAGCUAUAAGCUUGCCUGAGGUUAAUGAAUGGUGUGCCUAACUCCUUACUUGAGUACACUUAAGUACUAUGCUUAAAUUCUAGAUUGUAUGUUCUUGACAUUCUUGUCAAUAAGCUACUUGAAUGUUUGUCUCUUUCAAGUAAUUAUAAUUUGUUCACACUUCAGUGGAAGACAACUAAUCCUUAGUUGUUAGUAAGUAUGAGACGUGCUAAUUGCUACUAGUUUCCCUAUGAUUAUGAGUACCAUUACUUAUUCUAUUGUUAAUUUUAUUUAAAAAUAAAUCAAAAUCAAAUCAAUGAGUCGUCCUGUUGACAACAUAAGAUUAUUGUCAGUAUAAUCACAGCUAAAAUAGAUAUUUCACAGCUUAACGCUUCUCUAGAUCAAUCAUCAUUUUAUUUCCUAGUUUUUCUCUAGCUGAUAACAGCUUAUCACUAAUCAGUUGAUAACACGAAAAAGGGGCGAGAAGAUAGUGAGGUAAGAGUGAACAUGAUAUUGUCUUGCUGUCAAAGUGACAUCUACCAUGAUAUGCAACACUGUUGACACAUAAAGAAUAGAUUUUGACAAAAUGUACUUAAUCAAGUCUGUGUAUCGCAUACUGUCAUUAAUUUAGCUUAUUCUGUUUCUUAAAAGAACAUGCCAAUACUAGCAACUUGUACAUGACAUAUAUACAUACUACAUGCCAAAUCUAGUUAGAAAUCAAUUCCUACAGAGGCCCACAGAUCAUGGUACCUGAAAUACUGGCAACGUUUCCUUGCUUAUUUCUACUUAAUUUAGUGAGACUGGCAGAUAUAUUAUAACCAACAGAACGGAAAAUCUUGAUUCACUAAACAGUAAAAGUUUCCCUUAACAUAAAACAUGUACAACGUUUUAAUAUUAAAUUAUUUUGAUGUAUCUAAGUAUUUAUAAUCUUCCAUGAUAUCGUUUUAAAGAACCCUCGACACAAAAUUACCACAAGACAGUCGAUCUGUGCGUAAUUGCUUUCAGUAACGACUAAUUUGUUUUAGUACAAAACUUUCCCAGUAGAUAAAUAUAACCGAUACCAUUGAGGUUUUAUUUUUGCUAUAAUCUCUUCAUUAUCGCAACAGAAUAAAUAUUAGCUAGAAAACGAAUAACUUUUCUAAAUUUGCCAUUCCAAUUGAAUUGUUUCAUUGACAGCUGGUUUGACAUUUUUACAAUAGCCUCAAAUACUUUCUUCUAUCCCCGGUGUCCCUAGUCGAUGACAGUUUUCUGCACGUGUUAUCUCUUAUCAGUCUGUACGCACGUUGUUGAUCGAUAAUUAUGUUAUUGUUUACAUACAUUACCAUGUGCACACGCGAUUCCAAUUAUCGUAUAAAGCCGCGUCCUAAGUUCGUAACGGGUAACGUUUAUAAGUUUAGUUUAUGCUAGAAGCGCAAACUGUCAUUAGUUCUUUGAAUAGUGAAUUAAAGUGAAAUAACAAUCUAAUUAGGUAAGUGAUAAGCCUACAAUGGUUUUAAAAUUACACGGCUAUGUCUAAAGUGAGUGAAAUGUGUUGUGCAAAGUGCAAUGUUUCUGUUUCAAUAUCGGAUUAUAACUUUGUUUAAAAAUCCAGGUUAGUGACCUUAAACUUACAAAACAUACUUCAAAAUGAAACGUAUCUUAGAAAACUAUCAAUAGCUUGAUUGCCCCUUAGACUAUUACGCAGUGGUUAAUAAGAAUAGACGAAUGAUACAAAAUUAACAUAAAGUUUCAGCAUGAAGGAUAGCAAGUUCCCAAAAAGGAUAUCUCAUUCACAGCAACACUUUGUGACAAAAUGUCACUUGAAUAUGCUAACAAUUGGACAUAUUUAGGGUCUAUUACAUCCUGCGGUCACGGUCUCCACUUUGUAACACCCCGCUACCCCUUAAUUAAUUCACCCUAAAUUACCUAACUUAAGUCCAAAUUGUUAGCCCUAAUUAAAACAAUACACUAUUAAAAAUUGGCCAUUAAAACAAAUACUGUGAUCGUCUAGUAAGUGGUAGG
rnacentral:lncRNA from 1 species